CUGAAAGCAGACAACUUGCAAUAAUGUGAUUACGGAGUUGGGAGUCAAGAAAUACAUAUUAUAAAAGGAAAAGAAUUCUUAAAUCAUUCCAAGACAAGGAGACAUCAGCAAAAACAGUGAGAUAAUUUAUGUUUCCAAAAUGACAUAGAACAUCAGAAUUCAUUAAAGUGUUUUAUGAACUAUAGGACACAUCUCUUAGCCCUUUAGUUCCAGGCAUUCCUUAAUCUUUCUUAUUAGCUUUAGUUGUAAGUUUCUUUGGGUUAUGGACCCUUUUGAGAAGCUGAUUGAAUGCACAUGUCAUCUCCUCAGAAAAAUGCAUAUAUGCUUAUGAAUGUAAUGAUUAUGAAAUAACUUCAGGGAUUUCAUGGAUCUCCUGAGAGCCCAACUAUAAAGAAACAGGUUAAAAAUCUCUGGGUUAGAGGAGUCUUAGUGGAAUUCCUUAGUGAUUUGUGUCAUCCCUGUGCUUUCUAGGAUUUCUCAAGGCAAGAAACAUACCCUCUCUCCAACUCCAUCACACUCAAUGGAUAUAGGAAGAUCUAGGAUUACCCAGACCUGAGGCACUCUUUAUGAAUCUCAGUCUAAGAGCAUCUUUUUGACAAUGAAAGGAUAAAACAGACUGGAAAUUUUCUAUAUUUCCUUACACCACUUGGUAACUCACAACAUUAAAAGGAUUCUGCGCACAAGAUUAUCAUUAAUUAUAGUAAUAGCUUGAUUGAACAAAUUAAGUACCUUGAUAAUUGUAAACGACAUUCAGCAUUUCUUGAUGCAUGGCAAUCCCUGAUACCUACUAAACAGAAGCCUCCACUGUACUGGACAAGGUAUUGUACAAGGUGCUCGGGUACAAAAGGUGGAGUGCAGUGUCGCUAUCCUGGCUCUCCUGGCUCACUGCAGCCUGGACUUCCCCAGCUCAGGUGAUUCUCCCACCUCAGCCUCCCAAGUAGCUGGACUACAGGUGCGCACCACCACAUCUGGCUAAUUUUC
rnacentral:lncRNA from 10 species